AUGCAUGGACAUAAGUGCAGAUUAAUACCAAAUGUCCAUUUGUUACAACAGGAAGUGGAGGAGCAACAACAAGAAGAAAUAGAGGAAGGAACACAACAUGAACAAGUUGAAACUAAUGAACAAGAAGAGCAAGUCAUGUUUCUCUCUGCUCAUGCUAUGGGCCAACAAUUGGCAGUGCCCACACCCACCAUUAUCAUACACAUCAAUGGCAAACGAGCAGUUGCUCUUCUGGAUUCAGGCAGUACAACUUCCUUUAUCAAUCCACAAUUUGCAGCUAAAGCUAGUUGCAAUAUAUUGCCAGUGAAACCAAGGGCCAUUGCUGUAGCUGGUGGGGCAAAGUUAAUAUCUGCAUCGGUAGUUCCAAAUUGUGAGUUCAUAGUUGCCAAAACAAAGAUUUCACACAACUUCAGAACUCUAGAUCUGCCCACCCAUGAUGUAAUUUUGGGUUAUGAUUGGUUUACUGCAGUUAGUCCUGUAGCUUUUGACAUUCCCAAGCAACAGUUCAGCUUCACACAAAAGGGGCAACAGUCAUUUUCUACAGCUAUCUUCACAAACCCUCAAACCACUAAGGAAGUACAAGCAGAGGGUGUGAAUAAGUUAAUGGAUAAAGGAGCAGAGGUAUUCUUAAUGCAAGUGCAUAAUAUACUUAUGGAAGUUCCAGAAGGGACCAAAACUCCUCCCCAAAUACAACAGUUACUCUUGAAAUAUGCUGAUUUGUUUGAGGAACCCACUGAACUUCCACCUCAUAGAGCAUUGGAUCACAAAAUUCCUUUGGUACCAGGAGCAAAUCCUCCACAACUGAGACCUUACAGAGUUCCACAACAUCAGAAGAAAGAAAUGGAAGAACAAAUCAAAAAGCUAUUGGCUAAACACUUGAUCAGACACAGCCAAAGUCCUUAUGCUGCUCCAGUCUUGUUGGUUAAGAAGAAGGACAGCUCUAUGAGGUUAUGCACUGAUUUCAGAAAGCUCAAUUCCCUAACAGUCAAAAAUAAAUUCCCAAUACCAGUAAUAGAGGAUUUAUUGGAUGAAUUGCAUGGAGCAAAGUAUUUCUCUAAACUGGAUCUGAGGUCUGGUUAUCACCAAAUACGAAUGCACCCAGAUGAUAUACAUAAAACUGCCUUCAGGACCUAUUUGGGGCAUUUUGAGUACUCAGUCAUGCCUUUUGGGCUGUCUAAUGCUCCUGGCACAUUUCAGGAACUGAUGAAUACUAUAUUUGCUCCCUAUUUGAGGAAGUUUAUGUUGUUGUUCUUUGAUGAUAUUCUCAUUUACAGCAGAAACCUCAAGGAAUAUUUGGAACAUGUUUCAGAUUGUAUUACAAGUGCUGAGAGACCAUAA
rnacentral:rRNA from 1 species